rnacentral:lncRNA from 1 species
CAUGAAUUAAUUAAAUUUUCUUUCAAAAAUAAAUAAUUUUAAAAAAAAUAAAAUUAAGGCAUAUUUAUGAAAAAUAGAUAUUAAUUUAGUUGAAUAAUUUAAGCACCAAAAUAAUAAGAAAUUUUUGAAAAAUUUAAUGCAUAUUUUUUCUUAUGUUUUAGGUAAAAAAUUAGAGCAAAAAUCGAGUCAAAAUAUCUUAAAAAAUAAAAAAUAUUACCUUCGGUGCAUGGU